rfam:Corchorus capsularis cultivar CVL-1 contig07455, whole genome shotgun sequence.
AUGGCAUGUUGAGGACAAUCGGCGCAAAGUUUCUUGAAUCUCUCUCAAGCUAGGUAAAGAUUCUCAUCCUUGCGUUGUUGAAAACUUGCAAUUCUUUGUCUCCCUUU